GAUGAACGCUGGCGGCGUGCUUAACACAUGCAAGUCGAACGGAAAGGCCCAAGCUUGCUUGGGUCCUCGAGUGGCGAACGGGUGAGUAACACGUGGGUGAUCUGCCCUGCACUUCGGGAUAAGCCUGGGAAACUGGGUCUAAUACCGGAUAGGACCACAUUUUGGAUGGUGUGGUGGAAAGUUUUUCGGUGUGGGAUGAGCUCGCGGCCUAUCAGCUUGUUGGUGGGGUAAUGGCCUACCAAGGCGUCGACGGGUAGCCGGCCUGAGAGGGUGUACGGCCACAUUGGGACUGAGAUACGGCCCAGACUCCUACGGGAGGCAGCAGUGGGGAAUAUUGCACAAGGGGCGCAAGCCUGAUGCAGCGACGCCGCGGGGGGGAUGACGGCCUUCGGGUUGUAAACGCCUUUCGCUAGGGACGAAGCGUUAUGUGACGGUACCUGGAGAAGAAGCACCGGCUAACUACGUG
rnacentral:rRNA from 1 species